ACCAACAGGGAUUGCCCUAGUAACGGCGAGUGAAGCGGCAACAGCUCAAAUUUGAAAUCUGGCUCUUUUAGGGUCCGAGUUGUAAUUUGCAGAGGGCGCUUUGGCUUUGGUAGCGGUCCAAGUUCCUUGGAACAGGACGUCACAGAGGGUGAGAAUCCCGUACGUGGUCGCUAGCUAUUGCCGUGUAAAGCCCCUUCGACGAGUCGAGUUGUUUGGGAAUGCAGCUCUAAAUGGGAGGUAAAUUUCUUCUAAAGCUAAAUAUUGGCCAGAGACCGAUAGCGCACAAGUAGAGUGAUCGAAAGAUGAAAAGCACUUUGGAAAGAGAGUCAAACAGCACGUGAAAUUGUUGAAAGGGAAGCGCUUGCAGCCAGACUUGCUUGCAGUUGCUCAUCCGGGCUUUUGCCCGGUGCACUCUUCUGUAGGCAGGCCAGCAUCAGUUUGGGCGGUGGGAUAAAGGUCUCUGACACGUUCCUUCCUUCGGGUUGGCCAUAUAGGGGAGACGUCAUACCACCAGCCUGGACUGAGGUCCGCGCAUCUGCUAGGAUGCUGGCGUAAUGGCUGUAAGCGGCCCGUCUUGAAACACGGACCAAGGAGUCUAACAUCUAUGCGAGUGUUUGGGUGUCAAGCCCGAGCGCGUAAUGAAAGUGAACGGAGGUGGGAACCCGCAAGGGCGCACCAUCGACCGAUCCUGAAGUUUACGGAAGGAUUUGAGUAAGAGCAUGGCUGUUGGGACCCGAAAGAUGGUGAACUAUGCUUGAAUAGGGUGAAGCCAGAGGAAACUCUGGUGGAGGCUCGCAGCGGUUCUGACGUGCAAAUCGAUCGUCAAAUUUGGGCAUAGGGGCGAAAGACUAAUCGAACUAUCUAGUAGCUGGUUCCUGCC
rnacentral:rRNA from 1 species